rnacentral:rRNA from 1 species
GACGAACGCUGGCGGCGUGCUUAACACAUGCAAGUCGAACGGAAAGGCCCUGCUUUUGUGGGGUGCUCGAGUGGCGAACGGGUGAGUAACACGUGAGUAACCUGCCCUUGACUUUGGGAUAACUUCAGGAAACUGGGGCUAAUACCGGAUAGGAGCUCCUGCUGCAUGGUGGGGGUUGGAAAGUUUCGGCGGUUGGGGAUGGACUCGCGGCUUAUCAGCUUGUUGGUGGGGUAGUGGCUUACCAAGGCUUUGACGGGUAGCCGGCCUGAGAGGGUGACCGGCCACAUUGGGACUGAGAUACGGACCAGACUCCUACGGGAGGCAGCAGUGGGGAAUAUUGCACAAUGGGCGGAAGCCUGAUGCAGCAACGCCGCGUGCGGGAUGACGGCCUUCGAGUUGUAAACCGCUUUCGCCUGUGACGAAGCGUGAGUGACGGUAAUGGGUAAAGAAGCACCGGCUAACUACGUG